AGAAUCAACGCUGGCGGCGUGCCUAACACAUGCAAGUCGAACGAGAAAGGGUAGCAAUACCUGAGUAAAGUGGCGCACGGGUGAGUAACACGUGACUAACCUACCUUUUAGUGGGGGAUAACCUAGGGAAACCUGGGCUAAUACCGCAUAAUACCUACGGGUCAAAGCAGCAAUGCGCUGAAUGAGGGGGUCGCGGUCGAUUAGUUAGUUGGCAGGGUAAUGGCCUACCAAGACUGUGAUCGAUAUCCGGCCUGAGAGGGCGCACGGACACACUGGAACUGAAACACGGUCCAGACUCCUACGGGAGGCAGCAGUGGGGAAUUUUGCGCAAUGGGGGAAACCCUGACGCAGCAACGCCGCGUGGAGGAUGAAGUCCCUUGGGACGUAAACUCCUUUCGAUCGGGACGAUAAUGACGGUACCGGAAGAAGAACGCCCCGGCUAACUUCGUGCCAGCAGCCGC
rnacentral:rRNA from 1 species